CCUACGGGAGGCAGCAGUGGGGAAUAUUGCACAAUGGGCGCAAGCCUGAUGCAGCCAUGCCGCGUGUGUGAAGAAGGCCUUCGGGUUGUAAAGCACUUUCAGCGGGGAGGAAGGCGGUGAGGUUAAUAACCUCAUCGAUUGACGUUACCCGCAGAAGAAGCACCGGCUAACUCCGUGCCAGCAGCCGCGGUAAUACGGAGGGUGCAAGCGUUAAUCGGAAUUACUGGGCGUAAAGCGCACGCAGGCGGUCUGUCAAGUCGGAUGUGAAAUCCCCGGGCUCAACCAGGGAACUGCAUUCGAAACUGGCAGGCUAGAGUCUUGUAGAGGGGGGUAGAAUUCCAGGUGUAGCGGUGAAAUGCGUAGAGAUCUGGAGGAAUACCGGUGGCGAAGGCGGCCCCCUGGACAAAGACUGACGCUCAGGUGCGAAAGCGUGGGGAGCAAACAGGAUUAGAUACCCUAGUAGUC
rnacentral:rRNA from 1 species